rnacentral:rRNA from 1 species
UGCGCAGGCGGGGAUGUAAGUCAGUGGUGAAAUACUGCCGCUCAACGGUAGAACUGCCAUUGAUACUGCAUCUCUUGAGUAUGGUUGAGGUAGGCGGAAUGUGUUGUGUAGCGGUGAAAUGCAUAGAUAUGACACAGAACGCCAAUUGCGAAGGCAGCUUACUAAACCAUUACUGACGCUGAGGCACGAAAGCGUGGGGAGCGAACAGGAUUAAAUACCCUGGUAGUCC